rnacentral:rRNA from 1 species
GAUGAACGCUGGCGGCGUGCCUAAUACAUGCAAGUCGAGCGAACAGAUGAGGAGCUUGCUCCUCUGACGUUAGCGGCGGACGGGUGAGUAACACGUGGAUAACCUACCUAUAAGACUGGGAUAACUGCGGGAAACCGGAGCUAAUACCGGAUAAUAUAUUGAACCGCAUGGUUCAAUAGUGAAAGACGGUUUUGCUGUCACUUAUAGAUGGAUCCGCGCCGCAUUAGCUAGUUGGUAAGGUAACGGCUUACCAAGGCAACGAUGCGUAGCCGACCUGAGAGGGUGAUCGGCCACACUGGAACUGAGACACGGUCCAGACUCCUACGGGAGGCAGCAGUAGGGAAUCUUCCGCAAUGGGCGAAAGCUUGACGGAGCAACGCCGCGUGAGUGAUGAAGGUCUUCGGAUCGUAAAACUCUGUUAUUAGGGAAGAACAAAUGUGUAAGUAACUAUGCACGUCUUGACGGUACCUAAUCAGAAAGCCACGGCUAACUACGUG